CAGCGGAGGCUGGAGAACCAGGCCCUUCCGCCGCGACCGCCUGGACGCCCUGGAUCCGCCCCGAGCCCCGCCUCCGGCUCCGCCCCGGGCGCGGAGCGGGACUCGCGGAGCCGGGCCUGCCAGAGGAGCAAGGGCAGCCUUGGAAUCCACGUCUUGACACAGUCUCCAGCAGCUUAGAUCCUGAAUAACCACAAAACCACAGACCACCCUCCAACCCUAAGUGCUCUGAUAACUGGACAGCAUCUAUGAAAUAAGUGAGGAGGGUGAUCUGAAGUGGGAUGGCCAGAGAAGAGGCUCCUGCAGUACACUGAGAAAGACACAGUGAGAUCCCAUGCCUGGGAAGUUGCCAUGAAAAGAGUUGCUUCUAAGCAGAAUAGUUCUUGACCAGAGCCUGGGUCAGAGCUGGGAAGUCAAUUUCAUGUGUGCCAUCCAAAAGGUGAGUCCAGGAGAGAAAAUUAGUAUGGAAUGUGAGUUGUGCUUAAGGAGGAUGGUCAAAAUAUUUAACAAUAGGUAUAGUAAUAUGGAGAUGCAGACAUAGAAAUAUAAUACAUGUAGA